GGCUCCAGGGCGCCAGCUGGAUGCUACUUGGUGCUCUUGAUUUCACAGGCUCUUCUCCUGCAUGAAGAAGAGCAACGCCUUGAAGACUGAAAUUGGCACAUCACAUGGACAUCUACAGACAUGACACAAUUUAAUUUGUUUUACUCAAAACCAAAUUUAUUCUUUACAUAUUUUGUUUUAGAUGUACAAUCAAACCAUAAAGUAAAUCAUACAUUAAUUCCUCAUCACAAUAAUGAACAACUCUAAAAACCACGAGCCAUAAAUAAACAAAGGGUGACAAAUCGAGGUCAGUAUGAAAUAGGGUUAGGCGACGCACCACGGGCCAGACAACGCUGACGUUUUCUCUCCUCACUCAAAAACACAAUGAAAAAAAACAAGAACGAAUGACCCCUACUUUCCUUGUUAUUCUACGACUCACUCUUGUAAUUCUUGUAGAAUGUGAAUCCGUUUGCGUCAUUGCAUUCACUUUGUAUGUAUUCGCGCCGCGCCUUCGCUUCUGGUGUGAACGCACAGUAGCCGUUACCAUGUGUAGAACAUAAAAUCCUUCAUUAUAUUAGUCGAGUUAGUUUAAACGUACAUCUUUUUUUUUAUACUGAUACUGGGAUGCAUCCAAGAAAGGCCUGACAAUGACUGUACGUGACGUUACCAUGGAAACGAGAGUGGGCCAAGAAAGGGGGCUUCUGUUAAAUUCCAACAUUGUGCAAAUUUGGUUGCAAUCAGGGUACAAAUAUUAAACUGUUUGUUGCAUGACAUUGGCUGCCCUAAUUUUGCAUUUCCAUGACAUCAAAUAAAAGCAUAAAUUCAUACACAUUGGACAGGGGCACGAAUAACUAAUUUACUUUGAUUCUUGUUUGAGGCUGACCAUCGCAUACAUGAACACCAACAAGACCAAUAGACUAGCGCUAAUUCAGCCUAUUGGUUUAAUCACUGAUUCAUUAAGGACAAAGACAGGGAUUUAGUUCACUGUAGGAAAGUGGUUCUUCUCUUAAUUAGUCUAUGACAGGUGACGUAGGUCGCUGACCUCGUAUUAAAAGUGUGAACGGAGUGUUUGUACAAAUAUACUCAUGCACGUAUGCGGGUUGACACUGCGGCAGUGAUGGAGGUGGGGGAGGGGGGUCUCGAGGAAGAUGGCUGCUCUUGUUUCUUCAGCCAAGCGAUGUGGGGGAGAGACUAAGUGUUUAACAAACAGUUCUCACAGACGACAUCACAAGACCCAGGUCCCGGGAGAGGAAGGGAAAUACAAAAAAAAGAACAGGCAGUCACUUUGCAGCAUCACCCCCCUCAGUAUCAUCAUCAACUUCAUCAUCAGGACCGACUCCAUCGGAUCUACAGUGCAGCAGGUAUUCCAGUCUUUGCGCGGUUCGUUUCUAUUUUCAAGCCAUAAAAUAUUAGUAGAUUAUAGCAGGAUCAAUACUUAAAAGAAGAAGCCACGUUACUCAUUUUGAGGAGGAGCAGAAGUGAUUAUUUUGCUUUCUCCUGGUCAAAGUAAAUCACAGACCUAGCUAAACCCCAUUGUGUUUCACUGAGACACCUUCAUUUACACGGAGAGAGGUCACUAAACGCCCAGGCUCAUCUUCCACACACACACCUCACCUUGGCUCAGAAAGUAGGCAAUCUUGAAAUCCAGUACAGACCCCCCCCACACACACACACACACACACACACACCUUGCAGGAGAUGGACAGUCUUGCAUGUGUCCAACACAUUUUACUACACACUGCCUGGAAUGUAGAGCUAGUAUAGAAUGCACACACGCGCGCAAACACACGCACAAGCACACAACGCGCCACGUGCAAAUAGUGUUACAGAGGGUGUGUGCAAGCACAGGGAAGGUCCCUCCUGGCUUGGCAGCUGAUCAUUCUGACCUUUGAACCCCCAGGUCUGUCCCAGCACUAGGAUCCCCCCUCGCCCCCCCCCCCCCCCCCCAUCUCCCGAAACCCGACACAGUAGAGCAGCGGCCAACAGUGUGUGUGUGUGUGUGUCUGGAUAGCAGAGUGCAUUUGAAAACAAAGGACAGCAUGCGUUUCGCAGGUUUGAGUGUGUUUGAUCUGUGAGUGCAAAAAAGGUACGACCAAAAUAGGUAGGAGUGUGUUAGUUGGUUUGAUCAAAACUCGUGUGUGUGUGUGUGUGUGUGUGUGUGUGUGUGUGUGUGUGUGUGUGUGUGUCAGUGUCUCUCUCAUGUCUCCCAUGCACCACCUGGGUUCUCAUCUGGAGUGAUGGCACCCCAGUGUCCAAAUGUCUCUCCCUCCUCCUCCUCCUCCUCCUCCUCCUCCUCUUCCUCUUCCUCUUCUCGCCAACCAGCGAAGGGAGGGGGGAGGGGUGGGGGGAAUAGUCUCAGGAGUCCAUCCGUCCGUCUGCCCUCUAGUGUGCGGUGGAGCGCGGACGGGGGCGGGGUUUAUAUACACAGAGGGUGACCCACGGCGAUGACCUCAUCGAGGCGAUGGUUGGGGUAGGUGGGUACGUGUGUGUGUGUAUGUGUGAGAGAGAAAUGUGUUAGUAUUCAGAGUCGUCCAGGAGGCGGACCUCCUCGUCGCUGGCCGCUGUGG